GGGGGGUCUUUUCUACUUUCACAGAUAAAAUGUAGAUAACCAGGGGCAAGUAUUUACAAGAGACAAUGUCCAGUGACAAAUAUUUCAUUCCUAUUUAGAAGAGAAAGCCCCCUUUUUUUCGGCCUUGCAUAAACCCCCUUAAAAAAACUUGCAUGCUCCUUUAUCAUGUUAACUCCAUUAUUUAUUGGAGCAACAGAAUUUACGUGUUUUGAGAAUUUAGUUUAUUU
rnacentral:lncRNA from 1 species